AUUGAACGCUGGCGGCAUGCUUUACACAUGCAAGUCGAACGGUAACAGGCCGCAAGGUGCUGACGAGUGGCGAACGGGUGAGUAAUGCAUCGGAACGUGCCCAGUCGUGGGGGAUAACUACUCGAAAGAGUAGCUAAUACCGCAUACGAUCUAUGGAUGAAAGCGGGGGACCGUAAGGCCUCGCGCGAUUGGAGCGGCCGAUGUCAGAUUAGGUAGUUGGUGGGGUAAAGGCUCACCAAGCCAACGAUCUGUAGCUGGUCUGAGAGGACAACCAGCCACACUGGGACUGAGACACGGCCCAGACUCCUACGGGAGGCAGCAGUGGGGAAUUUUGGACAAUGGGCGCAAGCCUGAUCCAGCAAUGCCGCAUGCAGGAAGAAGGCCUUCGGGUUGUAAACUGCUUUUGUACGGAACGAAACGGCUCUGGUUAAUACCCGGGGCUAAUGACGGUACCGUAAGAAUAAGCACCGGCUAACUACGUG
rnacentral:rRNA from 1 species